rnacentral:rRNA from 1 species
UGGCGGCAGGCCUAACACAUGCAAGUCGAGCGGAUGAAGAGAGCUUGCUCUCUGAUUCAGCGGCGGACGGGUGAGUAAUGCCUAGGAAUCUGCCUGAUAGUGGGGGACAACGUUUCGAAAGGAACGCUAAUACCGCAUACGUCCUACGGGAGAAAGCAGGGGACCUUCGGGCCUUGCGCUAUCAGAUGAGCCUAGGUCGGAUUAGCUAGUUGGUGAGGUAAUGGCUCACCAAGGCGACGAUCCGUAACUGGUCUGAGAGGAUGAUCAGUCACACUGGAACUGAGACACGGUCCAGACUCCUACGGGAGGCAGCAGUGGGGAAUAUUGGACAAUGGGCGAAAGCCUGAUCCAGCCAUGCCGCGUGUGUGAAGAAGGUCUUCGGAUUGUAAAGCACUUUAAGUUGGGAGGAAGGGCAUUAACCUAAUACGUUAGUGUUUUGACGUUACCGACAGAAUAAGCACCGGCUAACUU